rnacentral:rRNA from 1 species
GAGGAAUAUUGGUCAAUGGGCGAGAGCCUGAACCAGCCAAGUAGCGUGCAGGAUGACGGCCCUCCGGGUUGUAAACUGCUUUUAGUUGGGAAUAAAAAAAGGGACUUGUCCCUUCUUGUAUGUACCUUCAGAAAAAGGACCGGCUAAUUCCGUGCCAGCAGCCGCGGUAAUACGGAAGGUCCAGGCGUUAUCCGGAUUUAUUGGGUUUAAAGGGAGCGUAGGCGGAUUGUUAAGUCAGCGGUUAAAGGGUGUGGCUCAACCAUGCAUUGCCGUUGAAACUGGUGAUCUUGAGUGCAGACAGGGAUGCCGGAAUUCGUGGUGUAGCGGUGAAAUGCUUAGAUAUCACGAAGAACUCCAAUCGCGAAGGCAGGUGUCCGGGCUGCAACUGACGCUGAGGCUCGAAAGUGUGGGUAUCAAACAGGAUUAGAUACCCUGGUAGUCCACACAGUAAACGAUGUAUACUCGCGGUUUGCGAUAGACAGUAAGCCGCCAAGCGAAAGCAUUAAGUAUACCACCUGGGGAGUACGCCGGCAACGGUG